GGUCAUGAGUGCCAGUGACAAGCCCCGGCUCGCUGGUCAGCAACCCUCCUCCGCGGUGGGGUGCUCCGGGUGACGACCUGGCCGAUCCCCGACGCGUUCGUGACGUCGAGGCCCGGCAAGCGCGGACC
rnacentral:ncRNA from 2 species